rnacentral:rRNA from 2 species
ACCUGACUGCUAUCGGAUUGAUACUAAGCCAUGCGAGUCAUUGUAGCAAUACAAGGCAGACGGCUCAGUAACACGUAGUCAAUCUAACCUAUGGACGGGGAUAACCUCGGGAAACUGAGAAUAAUAUCCGAUAGGCCACUAUGCCUGGAAUGGUUUGUGGCCCAAAUGAUUUAUCGCCGUAGGAUGGGACUGCGGUCUAUCAGCUUGUUGGUGAGGUAAUGGCCCACCAAGGCUAUAACAGAUACGGGCUCUGAGAGGAGAGGCCCGGAGAUGGGUACUGAGACACGGACCCAGGCCCUAUGGGGCGCAGCAGGCGAGAAAACUUUGCAAUGUGCGAAAGCACGACAAGGUUAAUCCGAGUGUUUUCUGCUAAAGAAAUCUUUUACCGGUCUUAAAACCACCGGCGAAUAAGGGGUGGGCAAGUUCUGGUGUCAGCCGCCGCGGUAAAACCAGCACCUCAAGUGGUCAGGAGGAUUAUUGGGCCUAAAGCAUCCGUAGCCUGCCGUGUAAGUUUUCGGUUAAAUCUAUGCGCUCAACGCAUAGGCUGCCGGAAAUACUGCACGGCUAGGGAGUGGGAGAGGUAGACGGUACUCGGUAGGAAGGGGUAAAAUCCUCUGAUCUAUCGAUGACCCCCUGUGGCGAAGGCGGUCUACUAGAACACGUCCGACGGUGAGGGAUGAAAGCUGGGGGAGCAAACCGGAUUAGAUACCCGGGUAGUCCCAGCUGUAAACAAUGCAAACUCAGUGAUGCAUUGGCGUAAGAGCCAGUGCAGUGCCGCAGGGAAGCCGUUAAGUUUGUCGCCUGGGAAGUACGUACGCAAGUAUGAAACUUAAAGGAAUUGGCGGGGGAGCACCACAAGGGGUGAAGCCUGCGGUUC